rnacentral:tRNA from 1 species
GCCUAAUUGGUCUAGUCGCAUGAUACCUCAUUCGGGGCACUAAGCCUCGGCCUGCAGAAAUGCGGCCUGAACAUUGAGGUGGUCCUCGGUUCAAUUCCGGGAUUGGGCC